rnacentral:rRNA from 1 species
UAGGGAAUCUUCGGCAAUGGGGGCAACCCUGACCGAGCAACGCCGCGUGAGUGAAGAAGGUUUUCGGAUCGUAAAGCUCUGUUGUAAGAGAAGAACGUGUGUGAGAGUGGAAAGUUCACACAGUGACGGUAACUUACCAGAAAGGGACGGCUAACUACGUGCCAGCAGCCGCGGUAAUACGUAGGUCCCGAGCGUUGUCCGGAUUUAUUGGGCGUAAAGCGAGCGCAGGCGGUUUAAUAAGUCUGAAGUUAAAGGCAGUGGCUUAACCAUUGGUCGCUUUGGAAACUGGUAGACUUGAGUGCAGAAGGAGAGAGUGGAAUUCCAUGUGUAGCGGUGAAAUGCGUAGAUAUAUGGAGGAACACCGGUGGCGAAAGCGGCUCUCUGGGCUGUAACUGACGCUGAGGCUCGAAAGCGUGGGGAGCAAACAGG